GGCUGGUCUGAAGUUAGUGAGUUAUCUCAAUUGUUCACAGUCAGUUACAGGUCAAACUUCCUUGUUCUACUCUUUCUUCCUCUCACUACUGCACCUAGUCUUAA
ensembl:misc_RNA Y_RNA Y RNA